GGAUCCCGUCCUCGCAUCAAGCGGUCGGAGGAGAUCCUCCUCUCGAGGGUACAGAGCGGGCUCGUAUGCCGGGAAGUGCCUGUAAAGGAGACUUGCAAGCUUAUUCGCUCUGAGGAUGAGAACGGGAAUAAGAUGAUUAAUGAAUACGUUCGGGAACGGAAGAUUGGUUCCGGCAGCUACGGCAAAGUGGUUCUGUAUCGGAACACUAAAGAUGGGAAGGAGUAUGCGAUGAAGGUUUUCCACAAAUCACAUUUAUUAAGGUUAAGAGUGGCGCCUUCGGAAACUGCCAUGACUGACGUUCUCAGGGAGGUUUCCAUCAUGAAAAUUUUGGACCAUCCCAAUAUAGUUAACCUCAUUGAGG
rnacentral:misc_RNA from 1 species